GGUUAUCAAACUACAGUUUAUUUGCCUUGAAGUGACAUACCUCAGUUUCAGAAUAAACCACAGCACUGUAAGGUUGGUGUGAACAUGUGCCAAGUCCAGGUUCCUAAUACUGCUUUAGUAGCUUUUCCACAUACACAUUGCUUUAGUAUCUUCCAGACCAGCUGUCUUCUUCCUGUUCAUGUUGGGAUGUACCAGUAGCAUCUGUUUGCUGCAGCUCCAGGUUUUGCAAAAUUAGACCUCUAAAACUGACCAUCCCCCCUGUACUUCCAACAAAGAUUCUGGACUCUUUCUCCUUGAAGAGAUAAGUGACCAUAUUUAAAUGAAACCCCGUAGCAAAGAGAUCGAUGCCACCAUCCAGCACUAGGUAGUUGAACAAAUCUCUGGGAAAGAGUAACUUAGGGAUGUGUAUCACAGUCAAGAAACCUAAUGCAGAUUUAUUAAGAACACCAAAUACAAAAGCCUUCAGAAAACUAUCCUCAGGACAUGUGUGCUGCAUGGAAUUGAGCUGAAUUUGUCAGAGAGGCUCUUCUGGAUUAGUGAGCAUUGUGCCCAGACUAAAGCAGAAACAAGCUGGAAGCUACACAGGCACCUGUGGACUCUUAACUAGAAGAUAAAUUCUCUGGACAACCAAGACUAUUUUAUGGAAGAUCAAAUAUGAUGCCUCCCAGGAAAAUAGAUUGAUAGUCCUGCAGAGGGAACUUAAUUUGCAUCUUGCAUGGCACAGCCCACAGAGGAAGGGGAUGUCACUAAUCGUUUGGUAAACCUGAGGAAAGAGAAGGCAAACAUCCUUCUUCAUCUCUAGCCUUGUGAAGGGAUUCCAGCAGCAGGCAAAGUGCCCAAAGAAAGGAAGUUUGUGUUGCAAGACAAGCUCGAGAGCAAAGGCGUGUGUGACAUGCUGAGACAUUGUCAAGGGAUCAAAUGGAAAAGUGUGAAAGAGAAAGGGACCUAAAGGAAAAGACCAUUGGACGUGAUGCAAAAGCUGCUAAACAUGCUGGAGAACUGUUUCACUGUGGUCAUGUGUAACAUCCUAAAGCAAUCCAGUCCUGUAGCCCUUCAUUCUUCCAACUGCAAGCCUUAGGCAGUCCCUCCUGGUGUUCCACCCAAAGAUGAGGGAGCACAUAUUGUCCCACUUGCACAUCUCUGAACCCCUUAUGAAAGUGUGUCCAGCUUCUGCAUGAGGUCUUGUGUCCCAUUUUAGUUUCUUUCCAUUUGCACAUUCCUCUUGAGCUAAAGCAGCCAUCUUAGUUAUAACUGGAAAGAAAUACAAGAAGUGUAGGUCUUCCUAAGGAGAGCCAUUUGCAAUAAAAUCAAAGUAAGCAAACUGUAUAUGAUACAUUGUAUUCAUUUUGUUCAUUGCAGUGUCAUAAAGGUUCUUCUGUAUCUUUGCUCGGAAAGCACAGAAUUUCUGUGAACCCAGUUCCCUCCAUCUCAGACACCUGAAUAAGGGAGAGAUUAGCUGUUCAGAAUAUUCCAAACUUGUCUUUUUCAACUCUGAUCUGUUCUCUUAGAUGUUGUGAUGUUGGACAAAGCUCAGCACACACAUGAGGCAGGUCUCACAGCAGGGUAAGUGGAGUGGUGUAAGAAGGGCACGUGGUCAGACUUGGAACAGCACAGGGGCAGGCAUUUGGUGAAAGCCCAAAAAGGUCUGCUUUGCUCAGGCAGAACACUGCUGGUAGGGAAGCUGGCAGCAUCUUGGCUCUUGGAAAAACAACAUUUCCCAAUAUGCUUCAUCUUCUAAAUUGGAGGAAGAAAGAGGGAAUGUCUGGUGCACCAUUCUUGGAAACUUGCCAGUCCCUGCCUUUGAGCAGGCUCCAGCCUGUGAUUAAACACCUCUGCUUUCCUUUCUGUCUUCCAAAUGUUCACUGAUCCUUCUGCCUCAGCUGAAGAGAUUUAAAUGUCUAGAAAAGCUUCUGAAAAGCCAAGGAAGGAAAGACACAGUCUUACAAUAUUGUACUUAGUACUACAAUGGCAUUUAGAUCCAUUUAGAUGGUGUUUAAGUGAGCAAAAGCUUUGUGUUUUAUUUCAUAAAACAAUGACAUUUUCCCCUAAAGAUGCCAGCAGAAUCCUUCCCAGGCCUCUCCAUGUAAAUGUUCCCAAAGUUCCUACAGCAUGCAACUUGAUACGCAUUCUUGCCAAGCAGAAAAGGUCUGGUACCAGAAUCUUUAGAAAAAUCAUUUUUAGCCCGUACAACAGGUGGGGGAAACCUCUUGUUCUCCAAAACUUUAUUAGAAGAGCACACUAGUGAACUGACACCUGGUUUGGAGGACUAAUGACAGCAGCGUGAUUUUCUUGGUGUAUGAAGCUUUUGGAAAUUUUAGGCUUAUCAGCUCCAAUUUUGGCCCAAAGGCCAGUAUAAAUAAAUGCACACUGUUGUGAUAAUCCUGGCGGUUGUUUUUCACCUACAAGCCAGCAUGGAUGAAAACAAGUUAUCAUGGUAUAGCAAACUGCGCUGAUUUUUAUGAGGUAAUGACUGUUACAGAUCUGUCUCAUGUUACUUUUAGACUGACUUAAGGGUGCUGCUAGAGUGAUCUUCACAUUGUAGUUACAAACUGAUACUGCUGUCCUUUUCUCCAAAGCACCAUUUCAUUUGAGGUUAUUCAGUAUUUCCAGGCUGCAGAGUUGGG